GUUUUAGUAAUUUAAUAAAAAUAAUAACUUUGUAAGUUAAAAUUAAGUUUACACUUCUAAAACU
rnacentral:tRNA from 1 species